AUAAUGGGAAUUGGUACCAAAGUAAGAGAUGCACUUCUUCUUGGACAACUUGGGGAACAUUUUGCAAUAGAAAUAGCCAGCAGGGAAGAUGACAAAAGGUGAAAAUUGAUUAGCAAAGGAGAAGGCCCAGUGGCAGCAAUUAUCUGCUAUGAGUGGAACUAGCAGAUACGGUAUGAAUGGGAGGUGAAUGGAAGGAGUGGACUGGGCUGGGAAAGCCUACACAUGCCUAUUAUCUAGUUAGUCUACUACCCAGUGGCCUUGAGGCUCUCUACUUUGGAUACAUAUUAAAAUCUAGGAUGUUGAAAUGCAGAAUACUGAUGCCAAUCAUUUGUUAACAUCAGUUAAGUCUUCUGCGAGGGAGUAUAUGCACCAGUAUUUUAUUAAAACAAAAAACAAAAAACAAACAACUCCCCAUGAAAUUCCAAUAUAUGUCUAAUGGUGAGAGUCAUCAAUGUAGGCAAUGGGUCAACACAACUGGGCAGAACAGUGGUACAAAACCUUUAAAAAAGAGCUGUGAGGAGUAGAUUCAAGGCACAGAAACUAAGAGAGACAGAUUGCACCCAGCACCUUUGAAAUUCCUGUACAAUCAACUAGGUGGUCUUGGAGUCAAAAGCUUUCUUCUACCACACAGGCCAGGUGCAGAGGCUCAGGCUCCCUCUGGAAACCCAGUUACUUUGGGGGAAAAGACAGGAUGAUCACCAGUUUGAGCAUAGGAAAAAGUUAGCAAAAUCCACUCUCAAAAACAAGACAAAAACCUUUCGUUUUGGAGAAUUAUGUUAAUAGUAAUUGAUUCAUCUUGGCUACUCAGGAAACAGCGAGGAUCUGUGUAAGAUCGACAACAAAUCCAUCCAGUAAUAUCUGCCACACAGAGACAAAGAA